rnacentral:rRNA from 1 species
GAUGAACGCUGACAGAAUGCUUAACACAUGCAAGUCAACUUGAAUUUGGGUUUUUAACUUUGGUUUGGGUGGCGGACGGGUGAGUAACGCGUAAAGAACUUGCCUCACAGCUAGGGACAACAUUUGGAAACGAAUGCUAAUACCUAAUAUUAUGAUAAUAGGGCAUCCUAUAAUUAUGAAAGCUAUAAGCGCUGUGAGAGAGCUUUGCGUCCCAUUAGCUAGUUGGAGAGGUAACGGCUCACCAAGGCGAUGAUGGGUAGCCGGCCUGAGAGGGUGAUCGGCCACAAAGUGACUGAGACACGGCCCUUACUCCUACGGGAGGCAGCAGUGGGGAAUAUUGGACAAUAGACCGAGAGUCUGAUCCAGCAAUUCUGUGUGCACGAUGAAGUUUUUCGGAAUGUAAAGUGCUUUCAGUUGGGAAGAAACAAAUGACGGUACCAACAGAAGAAGUGACGGCUAAAUACGUG